rnacentral:rRNA from 1 species
CGGCACGGGUGAGUAACACGUAUGCAAUCCACCUGUAACAGGGGGAUAACCCGGAGAAAUCCGGACUAAUACCCCAUAAUAUGGGCGCUCCGCAUGGAGAGCCCAUUAAAGAGAGCAAUUUUGGUUACAGACGAGCAUGCGCUCCAUUAGCCAGUUGGCGGGUAACGGCCCACCAAAGCGACGAUGGAUAGGGGUUCUGAGAGGAAGGUCCCCCACAUUGGAACUGAGACACGGUCCAA